rnacentral:rRNA from 1 species
CGUAGGGUGCGAGCGUUAUUCGGAAUUACUGGGCGUAAAGCGUGCGCAGGCGGUUUUGUAAGACAGAUGUGAAAUCCCCGGGCUUAACCUGGGAAUGGCAUUUGGGACUGCAAGGCUUGAGUGCGGCAGAGGAGACUGGAAUUCCUGGUGUAGCAGUGAAAUGCGUAGAUAUCAGGAGGAACACCGAUGGCGAAGGCAGGUCUCUGGGCUGACACUGACGCUCAUGCACGAAAGCGUGGGGAGCAGACAGG